rnacentral:rRNA from 2 species
CUGAACCAGCCAAGUAGCGUGAAGGAUGACUGCCCUAUGGGUUGUAAACUUCUUUUAUAAAGGAAUAAAGUCGGGUAUGGAUACCCGUUUGCAUGUACUUUAUGAAUAAGGAUCGGCUAACUCCGUGCCAGCAGCCGCGGUAAUACGGAGGAUCCGAGCGUUAUCCGGAUUUAUUGGGUUUAAAGGGAGCGUAGAUGGAUGUUUAAGUCAGUUGUGAAAGUUUGCGG